rnacentral:rRNA from 1 species
CACGUAGGGUGCGAGCGUUGUCCGGAAUUACUGGGCGUAAAGCGCGUGUAGGCGGUUGCCCAAGUCGGGUGUGAAAGCCUUGAGCUCAACUCAAGAAAUGCACUCGGUACUGGGUGACUAGAGGACCGGAGAGGAUAGUGGAAUUCCCAGUGUAGUGGUGAAAUACGUAGAGAUUGGGAAGAACACCAGUGGCGAAGGCGGCUAUCUGGACGGUUUCUGACGCUAAGACGCGAAAGCGUGGGGAGCAAACAGG